rnacentral:lncRNA from 1 species
AUGCUCCCGCCUCACCUUGGUUUUCCUGAUUUGCCUGUGAAAACUCCACACCCUCCUCCUCCUCCGGAAAUAUUGGGAAACACUCGCAAUGAAAUAUGCAUGGAAAAGGAGAUGGGCAUCUCCCUCAUGGAAAAGGAGACUGGCAUCUCCUUCAUGGAAAAGGAGACUGGCAUCUCCUUCAUGGAGAAUGAGGCUGGCAUCUCCUUCAUGGAAAAGGAGACUGGCAUCUCCCUUAUGGAGAACAAGACUGGCAUCUCCUUCAUGGAGAAUGAGGCUGGCAUCUCCCUCAUGGAAAAGGAGACUGGCAUCUCCUUCAUGGAGAACAAGACUGGCAUCUCCUUCAUGGAAAAGGAGACUGGCAUCUCCUUCAUGGAGAAUGAGGCUGGCAUCUCCUUCAUGGAAAAGGAGACUGGCAUCUCCUUCAUGGAGAACGAGACUGGCAUAUCCCUCAUGGAGAACAAGACUGGCAUCUCCCUCCUCCUGCAGGGGAGGAAGGGACCCACAGGCAGAACUUGCUGCCCUGGGGUGUCCCUGGGUAGAUCCCAAAGAAUGGAUCCCCAUAAGCCAAACCCCAGGGUGGCUGGUGGCAGGGGGAACUAUGGGAGCAUUGUGGGUGGCUGUGGGAAGCCAUUUCCUGCCUCAGUUUCCCCCGUGGCAAGGCAGGGAUCAGCCCUGCCUCACCCUGCGCGGCAGCAGAAUGAAAAUCUUGGGAUGGGGAGGAAAAGCUCUUUGGAGCAGAGCUAUAAACAUCUUGCUGAUCCUGGAAAAUGGGUUCUGGGUGGCCGGGCUGGGUUCCUGAAGGGAACAGCCCUGGGAGAUGGCUGGAGGCCAGGGAUGCACCUGCAGGAGCGUUCGGGGUGCUGUGGGGGGAGGCUCUUCCCAAAGAGCAUCCCACAACUUCCCGCUGCUCCCAGGGCUGGGGGACUCCAACCCCACAACUCUGGCUGCUCCCAGGGGUUGGUGGGUGCCAGCAAGGGGCUGCUGAGUGCUCUGGGGGAGUGGGAACCUCUGGGUCGUCUCCGUCCGACACAGGUCUGGUUUUCCAAGCCCUUCCUGUUAUUACCCAGCUGGGGAACAAUAGCAGCUGGCGCAGUGUGA